rnacentral:rRNA from 1 species
CAAACGGGUGAGUAACACGUGGGUGACCUACCCCGAGGAGGGGAACAACUGUUGGAAACGGCAGCUAAUUCCGCAUACGGUCCGACAUUCAUUUGUCGGAGUAAAGGGCUUAGGCUCGCUUCGGGAGGGGCUCGCGGCUGAUUAGCUAGUUGGUAGGGUAAUGGCCUACCAAGGCGAUGAUCAGUAGCUGGUCUGAGAGGACGAUCAGCCACACUGGCACUUAGACACGGGCCAG